UACGUAGGGUGCGAGCGUUAUCCGGAAUUAUUGGGCGUAAAGGGUGCGUAGGCGGCUUGGUAAGUUAGAUGUGAAAGCCAUAGGCUUAACUUGUGGUUGCGUCUAAAACUGCCUGGCUAGAGUGUGCUAGAGGAAAGCGGAACUCGUGGUGUAGCGGUGAAAUGCGUAGAUAUCACGAGGAACACCAGUAGCGAAGGCGGCUUUCUGGGGCAUUACUGACGCUGAGGCACAAAAGCGUGGGGAGCAAACAGG
rnacentral:rRNA from 1 species